UACAGAGGUCCCGAGCGUUGUUCGGAUUCACUGGGCGUAAAGGGUGCGUAGGUGGCGAGGUAAGUCGGAUGUGAAAGCUCGGAGCUCAACUCCGAAAUGGCAUUGGAAACUACCUUGCUCGAGGGUUGGAGGGGGGACUGGAAUACUUGGUGUAGCAGUGAAAUGCGUAGAUAUCAAGUGGAACACCAGUGGCGAAGGCGGGUCUCUGGGCCGUAACUGACGCUGAGGAGCGAAAGCGUGGGGAGCGAACAGG
rnacentral:rRNA from 1 species